GCCACUGCAUUGUACAGUAAAAAAUGGUUAAAAUGGUAAAUUUUAUGUUCUGUAUGUUUUGCCAUAGUAAAGAAAAACUUAUUCUAUGCAUUCAGCAAAUGCUGGUUCCUUCCCUGUUUUUGUGAGUGAAUUCGCAUCUCUGGAUCAUCCACUGUUCGGCUUUGUUGAAUAAUAGACACACAGAAAAGUGCAUCUCCUCCAAAAGCCCCCUUGCUCAGGACGCUCCCACCACCCUGGCUUCCUGUGAGUGUCUCAAAUGAGAACUCCUCAAGCACCUGGAACCACUCCCUGCUUUGCACGGCUCAUUCCACCUCUAAUUUCAGAUCUUAGCUUCAGCUCCAGAGGGAUGCCUUCCUGGACCAUGCUUCCUAAAACAGGGCUCUCAAAAGCUAGUUCUUUCCUUCACAGCAUUCACCACCAUUUGGUCAUUAUUACUGUCUUAUCCGACAGAUCAGAUUUGCCCCCAAAGAGAAAUGAUGAUAACAGUAAUAAUAAUAAAUACCAUUGUUAAGUUGCCUGGCACUCCAAGUGCUUAGGCACAUCCCUCCUGUAUUCCUCACCUUAUCCUAUUCAUUCGUUUGUCAAAGAGUUGUGAAGACUUCAAAGGGUUCCAGGCUCUGGGGAUACCACAAAGAGAAAAUGAGCCCACCCCACACUCUCAUGCAACCUGCAUUCUGCUGAGAAUUGAGAGAGGCUAAGAAUAACAAUCACACAAGUAACUAAGACAAUUUCAGCGAGGGUUAAGAGCUGUGAGAAGGACAGAAGGCAGUGACAUGAUAGAAAGUGACUGGGAACAAAGAACUGAGGCUGGGGCCCAGAACAGGCUCUCCGAGGAGGAGAUCAUUGACAGAGACCUGGACACUGAGAAAGAGCCAACUACACCAAGAUCUGGGAGGCAAGCUUUUCGGGCAGUGAAAAAAGCAAGUCAGCAGCAGCCCUACGAGUGAGUUUGGUGUGUUCAAAGAACUGGAAGGAGGCCGGUGAGCAGGAGCGAGAGCUGGAUACAGCUGGAGGGGAGAUGCACCUGCGGAAUGUGGCAAGGGCAGUUCCAGGCUUGUCCAGCCUGCCCGUCUGGGUCCUGCCCCAUGACUCACCUUACAACAGGUAGCUGCUCUUCCCUUCCCUUGGGAAAAAUGUCACAGAGGCAGAGGGUACUUUGGAGCAGUGGAAAAGGGGAGACUUUUGGAAAACAGUUGCUCAACCUUAAGAGCAUGGCUUGAUCCGUGGUAUAUAGAUCUACGACUGGGCUCUGAACCUGCGAACCCUGGGCCCCUGAGGCGGAGCAUGCCAACUCAACUGUCGGGCCUGACCCUAUAUGUGUUCUUAGAUUUCUACUACUCCUAACCUCAAAGGAACUUGAGGUACUGUGACGAGGAGUAAACACAUAAUAUCCCAGUUUCAUGCAAUGGAAGCAGCAACAGAAACAGGAAGUAAACCAGAAGAAUUUAAAAGCAAGCAAGCAAAUAAACAUGUUCCAAGCAAAAGCAAGAAAAGUUUUUGUAGAAAUGAUAGUAGUCGAAAGCCUAGACAUGAUACGAAGAGGUGGGCAGAGCAAGCUGCCAUGUUGUGAAUAGUCUUAUGGGGAGACCACAAUGGAGGAAACUGAUAAAUCUGGCUGUUGUGGGUUGAAUUGUGUCUCCCAAAGAGACAUGUUGAAGUCUUAACCCUUCUGGUACCUCUGAAUGUGACCUUAUUUGCACAUAGGUUCUUUACAGAUGCCAUCAAGUUAAAAUGGGGUCAUACUAGAUUAGGGCCAACCCUAAUCCAACGACUUGGGUCCUUAUAAGCAGCAGAUUUGGACACAGAGAUACAGAGGGAAGGAUGCCACUUUAAGGCAGAGCCAGAAAUUGAAGUGAUGCAACUGCAAGCUAAGGAAGGCCAGGGAUGGCCGGCAACCUCUAGAAGCUAGGAGAAAGGCAAGGAAAGAUUCUCCCUUAGGGGCUCCAGAGAGAUUGUGGCCCUGCCCACAUCUGGAUUUUGGACUUCUAGGCUUCAUAACUGUGAGAGAAUUUAUUGCUGUUUUGUAAAAGCCAUGCAGUUUGUGGUAAUUUGUUAUGGUAGCCCCACGAAACGAAUACACUAGCCAACCACCAGCGAGUUCCUAAGGUCUGCCAACAGCCAUGUAAAUGAGCUUGCAAGAGGAUCUUCUGAGGCCUGCCAACAGCCGGGCUGAGUGAGCGUGGAAGCGGAUCCUCCCCCAGCCAAGCCUUGAGAGGACUGCAGCCCCAAGUGACACCUUGAUUUCAUUCUUCUGAAGACCUGGAGCCAGACUUGCCUAGCAAAGCCCCUCUGAGAUUUCCGACCCACAAAAACUGGGAGCUGUCUUGCAGGGGCAGUGAGUCAAAAUGGUAAGUCAUGUAGCCGGAGUAUGCAUGGAGGAGAAAAUUUUGACCCGAAAUAACACCUGGAACCAAAGAUUCCCCCUCUCCUCAUGGAACCAAGGGACUGGGACAUGACUGGAACUCAAAAGCGAGGACCUUGUCGGAAGUAAGGAGUCUGUUGUCCAGGAAGAUCUGGUGUUAAAGCCCCUUUUCAUACCUUACCAUCAAUGGUCUUGUUCAAAGCCCUUCCAGUCAAAAUCUGGGCUGCCAGCACUUCCAAAUACCAGCCUGCCAUCCCUAAUCCCUUAAAUUUAACCCCAAACUCUGGAUUGGGGAGACAGAUUUGAGA
rnacentral:lncRNA from 1 species